AACGAUGUUAGCUUGCUAACAGGCGUCGAGUGGCGACGGGUGAGUAACGCGUAGGAAUCUACCAAAUAGCGGGGGAUAGCCCCGGAGAAAUCCGGAUUAAUACCGCAUAAAUCUCUACGGAGUAAAGGGGGGCCUCUAUUUAUAAGCUUUCACUAUUUGAUGAGCCUGCGUAAGAUUAGCUUGUUGGUGAGGUAAAAAGCUCACCAAGGCGACGAUCUUUAGCUGGUCUGAGAGGAUAAUCAGCCACACUGGGACUGAGACACGGCCCCAGACUCC
rnacentral:rRNA from 1 species